ACCUGAAACCGUGUACGUACAAGCAGUGGGAGCCUCUUUAUGGGGUGACUGCGUACCUUUUGUAUAAUGGGUCAGCGACUUAUAUUCUGUAGCAAGGUUAACCGAAUAGGGGAGCCGAAGGGAAACCGAGUCUUAACUGGGCGUUAAGUUGCAGGGUAUAGACCCGAAACCCGGUGAUCUAGCCAUGGGCAGGUUGAAGGUUGGGUAACACUAACUGGAGGACCGAACCGACUAAUGUUGAAAAAUUAGCGGAUGACUUGUGGCUGGGGGUGAAAGGCCAAUCAAACCGGGAGAUAGCUGGUUCUCCCCGAAAGCUAUUUAGGUAGCGCCUCGUGAAUUCAUCUCCGGGGGUAGAGCACUGUUUCGGCAAGGGGGUCAUCCCGACUUACCAACCCGAUGCAAACUGCGAAUACCGGAGAAUGUUAUCACGGGAGACACACGGCGGGUGCUAACGUCCGUCGUGAAGAGGGAAACAACCCAGACCGCCAGCUAAGGUCCCAAAGUCAUGGUUAAGUGGGAAACGAUGUGGGAAGGCCCAGACAGCCAGGAUGUUGGCUUAGAAGCAGCCAUCAUUUAAAGAAAGCGUAAUAGCUCACUGGUCGAGUCGGCCUGCGCGGAAGAUGUAACGGGGCUAAACCAUGCACCGAAGCUGCGGCAGCGACACUAUGUGUUGUUGGGUAGGGGAGCGUUCUGUAAGCCUGUGAAGGUGGCCUGUGAGGGUUGCUGGAGGUAUCAGAAGUGCGAAUGCUGACAUAAGUAACGAUAAAGCGGGUGAAAAGCCCGCUCGCCGGAAGACCAAGGGUUCCUGUCCAACGUUAAUCGGGGCAGGGUGAGUCGACCCCUAAGGCGAGGCCGAAAGGCGUAGUCGAUGGGAAACAGGUUAAUAUUCCUGUACUUGGUGUUACUGCGAAGGGGGGACGGAGAAGGCUAUGUUGGCCGGGCGACGGUUGUCCCGGUU
rnacentral:rRNA from 1 species